rnacentral:lncRNA from 1 species
AUCACAAGGUCAGGAGAUCGAGACCAUCCUGGCUAACACGAGUCUCUUCACCCCUAGUAUCAGUAUACAGGGGACAUUCAGUUGUUGACUGCCUGAUGAAUGUUUGCCAGUAAUUAGAACUGAGAGACACUCAAAGAUUCUGGACUGUCUUCUGAGCAGAGAAUAAAAAGUAGCUAUCAUCUGCCCACCACAGACAUGAAAAAACAAGAAAGACAGUUUGCAGAGAGGAGAGAAUGAAACAGGACUGUAGAGAGAAGCAGAGACAAGAAAUGGAUCUUCCCAUCUCGUCAUGAGCUUCCACUUCCAGACCCUGUACUCAGUGGAUCAGCUGGCACCACGCAGAU